AUGAUGGAGAGUUUGAUCCUGGCUCAGGACGAACGCUGGCGGCGUGCUUAACACAUGCAAGUCGAACGGGCAAGAGGGAUAGCUUGCUAGCCCUUUUGCUAGUGGCGGACGGGUGAGUAACACGUGGAUAAUCUACCCGGUACACCGGGAUAACCCUGUGAAAGCGGGGCUAAUACCGGAUGAAGUUUUCCUGUUGAAAGAUGGGGAAAAAAAAGGCGCAAGCCGGUACCGGAUGAGUCCGCGGCUGAUUAGCUAGUUGGUGGGGUAAAGGCCUACCAAGGCGACGAUCAGUAGCCGGCCUGAGAGGGUGGACGGCCACACUGGGACUGAGACACGGCCCAGACUCCUACGGGAGGCAGCAGUGGGGAAUAUUCCGCAAUGGGCGAAAGCCUGACGGAGCGACGCCGCGUGGGUGAAGAAGGCCUUCGGGUUGUAAAGCCCUGUCUUAUGGGAAGAAGGAAAAGACGGUACCAUAGGAGGAAGCCACGGCUAACUACGUGCCAGCAGCCGCGGUAA
rnacentral:rRNA from 1 species